rnacentral:rRNA from 1 species
AUUGAACGCUGGCGGCAUGCCUUACAUAUGCAAGUCGAACGGCAGCAUGGAGAGCUUGCUCUCUGAUGGCGAGUGGCGAACGGGUGAGUAAAGCAUCGGAACGUACCGUGUAGUGGGGGAUAACGUAGCGAAAGUUACGCUAAUACCGCAUACGCACUGAGGUGGAAAGCAGGGGAUCGUAAGACCUUGCGCUAUACGAGCGGCCGGUGUCAGAUUAGCUAGUUGGUAGGGUAAAGGCCUACCAAGGCGACGAUCUGUAGCGGGGCUGAGAGGAUGAUCGGCCACACGGGGACUGAGACACGGCCCAGACUCCUACGGGAGGCAGCAGUGGGGAAUUUUGGACAAUGGGGGAAACCCUGAUCCAGCCAUGCCGCGUGAGUGAAGAAGGCCUUCGGGUUGUAAAGCUCUUUCGGCCGGGAAGAAAUCGCACAGGCUAAUACCCUGGGUGGAUGACGGUACCGGCAUAAGAAGCACCGGCUAACUACGUGCCAGCCGCCGCAGUAA